rnacentral:rRNA from 1 species
UACGUAGGGUGCAAGCGUUUGUCCGGAAUUACUGGGCGUAAAGGGCUCGUAGGUGGCCAACUAAGUCAGACGUGAAAUCCCCAGGCUCAACUUGGGAACUGCGUCUGAUACUGGAUGGCUUGAAUUCGGGAGAGGGAUGCAGAAUUCCAGGUGUAGCGGUGAAAUGCGUAGAUAUCUGGAGGAAUACCGGUGGCGAAGGCGGCAUCCUGGACCGAGAUUGACACUGAUGAGCGAAAGCUAGGGGAGCAAACGGGG